AAAUCCUGAUAUUCAGUCAUUUCCGUCUGUGUCGACAUACUUCAUAUCGUUUUUGUUCUGAUACUUCAGCCAUACUAUAAAUUCUGCCAAUGAUCAGAAAGUGUCAAGAUGUUGAAACAGAUUAUAACCGUGUUAUUAUUGAUGACCCUGAUGUCUGUUGUUUUAUCACAGUUCUUUCACCGCAGAGGUAUGCAGAUGCAACCACGCCCAUUCGGAGGAAUGAAUUAUGGAAAUCCUUUUUAUAAUAUGAUGUUCUGGAGUAUGAUGGGGGAUGGUUUUAAUACAUAAAUAUCUACAUAGUUACCUAGACAACAAAAUGGUAUCGCUACGUCAACAGGGGUCAUGCUUACCAAAACAACGACACAUUAUAAUCAACAGAAAGCCUAUAUUAAACAAAUUACAAACGAAUUAAUUUAACAGUAAUCUGGAAUCCGAACAUUAAAGAACUUUUUU